GUCUGCUGUCUCGUAUUUACUCGAACCAGCAGCACGUGGUUUGUUGACGGAUCGAAUUUCCCACGACUCAGCGAAAAAAAAAUAAAAAUAAAAACCGAGUCGGAACCAAAGAAGUGUCGCGUCUCCAAAAUCGCGUCGAGCCGUUUUCGCGGUGACUCAGACACGCCAUUGCUCUGGAGCUGUAACAUCCCACCGGCUGGUUGAAAUGGAAGGGGAAGGGACACCGGGUGUCGACCUGAGCAGGAAGUUUGUGUCGGAGUCUGAGCUUGAUGAGAAAAGAAAGAAAAGACAGGAAGAGUGGGAGAAAGUGAGGAAACCCGACGAUCCAGAGGAGGCCCCAGAGGAGGAGUACGACCCUCGCUCCCUCUUCGAGCGGCUGCAGGAGCAGAAAGACAAGAAGCAGGAGGAAUAUGAGGAGCAAUUCAAAUUCAGGAACAUGGUGAGAGGAUUGGAUGAUGAUGAGACCAGCUUCCUGGACGAGGUCUCCCGGCAACAGAGCCUGGUGGAGAAGCAACGCAGGGACGAGGAGAAGAAGGAACUGUUGGAAUACAGAAGCGCUCUAGUGAAGAAGGCGACUGCUGAAAGCCGCAGAGAACCAGAAAAGAAGGCAGCGCCGAAACAUUCAGGAUCAGAGCAAAGGACCAGUCACCUGUCUCAGGCCCAUUUAUUGGCUGGAGCUGUAAAGAGACGCAGUUCUUCCCAGUCGUCAGACAGCAGCAAAAAACAGAAGGUGGAAAUCUCAGCAGCAACGACAGGAAAUGGAGACAGACACACAGUAGUUUCGUUGAAAUCCAUCCUGUUGUUUUUACGUAAUCCUGCUGAUAAACAAACCAACCCACAAACGGACAGAGGCAAAAACAUAACCUCCUUGGCCGAGAACAGGAGGCAGGAGGAGCGGGGGGAGCUGAAGACCAACAAACCGUCCCUGACCUGACGUCCAAGACGCCCUCGGCUCCCCUGAGCUCCGGUCAGGGCGUCUUACACCUGCCGUCCGCAGCCGUGUGCGUCGGCGUUUUACCAGGAUUGUGGGUUUAUUCUGGCAGCAGCGACUCUGACAGCAGCUCGGACAGCGAAGCUCUCAAACGUGACACCUCCGUCCUUCCUUUCCCUUAAUCACGUCUCACGCAGUUUAAGCCGAGCAACCAAUCCCGCACCCUGACGACAUCCUGCCCCCACACCCCCCCCCACACCCCCCUCCCAUCCCAAGCCACAGCGACUGCAAGUUGUGCUAUUGGCUGAGGGAACAGUGACUGACAGCUGUGGAGCGAGGAAGAGACUGUGUCACAUGACUCAGAGGAGAGAAGGAAGGACGAGCUUCUUUCUCUCUUUGGGUUCAAUGCAAAGUUUGACAAAUGUUCGUGUGUGUUCGUGUGAUGUGUUUUCCCCGUCAGUCGUGCUGGAAAGACGCUGGAGUGUUUCCUGUCGUCUCAGCUUUGUAUUGUUGGUUAAAGUCUGAGCAGAGAAAUAAAGAGCUUUCCCUUGUUCUGUGUGUUUACUGUGUCCAUGAGUGUGUGAGACAGAGACACAACUUGUUUAACUUUAUUAAAAUCCAUGAUACGAACGCUUGUGAUGAUAUAGAAUGUGGUAAAAAAAAAAAACCCUGAGGUUUGUGGCGUCUGAACAAUCGUCCGUCACCUGAUUCAAUUACAGAGUUGAGGAUUUUGAGGUUUGAUGUGUUUCUAUGUGAGAAAAUUAGAAAGCUAAAGUUUGCCAGUAGAGGCUGAUGGGAAUUUUAUUGGUUGUAUGUAUUCAAUUAUAUAAAAAAAAAAA